UACGUAGGCAGCAAGCGUUGUUCGGAGUUACUGGGCGUAAAGGGUGUGUAGGCGGUCUCGUAAGUCUGGUGUGAAAUCUCCCGGCUCAACUGGGAGGGUGCGCCGGAAACUGCGAGGCUAGAGUGUGGGAUGGGAGAGUGGAAUUCCUGGUGUAGCGGUGAAAUGCGUAGAUAUCAGGAGGAACACCUGCGGUGUAGACGGCUCUCUGGACCACUACUGACGCUGAAACACGAAAGCGUGGGUAGUAAACAGG
rnacentral:rRNA from 1 species